UACGGAGGAUGCAAGCGUUAUCCGGAAUGAUUGGGCGUAAAGCGUCCGCAGGUGGCUGUGUAAGUCUGCUGUCAAAGAGCAAAGCUCAACUUUGUAAAGGCAGUGGAAACUACACAGCUAGAGUACGGUCGGGGUAGAAGGAAUUCCUGGUGUAGCGGUGAAAUGCGUAGAGAUCAGGAAGAACACCGGUGGCGAAAGCGUUCUGCUAGACCUGUACUGACACUGAGGGACGAAAGCUAGGGGAGCGAAUGGG
rnacentral:rRNA from 1 species